AUCGUACGAUGGACUCUACGAUCAACUUAGGCUUACGAUGCUUUCGGGAAACGCACCCCUGGUCAAGUGUCAAGUUUGUUACAUGUUUCUUUCAACUAGUUUCAUGAGUUUUGUAGUUAUUAUAUGAUAAUUGUAUUUAAUGUUUAUUGUUUGUAGUUGUUAAUUUAUCAUUUUGACUCUAUACUCAAUGAUUAUUAUUUGUAUUAAGGGUUAUGGAAUAGGUAAGCUGGCCAUGGGUGUAGACAUAGGGCAUGUGGAAGCUAUUGGGUUUGUAAAGAAGAGUCAGCUUCAACUUUACUGAACACGCUCCAUUGCAUUUCAUUUCACCUUGUCACACUUCCUUUUCCCCUAUCCAUGCACAGUACUUCUCAAACUCAACAUUUCAGAAAUCACAGUGCCACCUAUUGAAUUAGAUUGUAAUACAACGCACAUCUGAGCACGUUUCUCCUAAAAAAAUGUUUUAUGUAAUAUUGGAACAACUAACUACUUCAGCAGCAUAAUCAAAAUAAAUUUGCUGUUGACAUUUAGCAAUGUAAGCACAGAAAAUGUACAAAAAACUGUACAAUAUCCCUUUCAUAAAAACUGUAGCAUAUUCUUGUUUUUCUUUUUCUAAUGCUCUACGUAAAAUCUACAUGAAGUAGAUAUCAGUUUUACUUGGAUCUGUAGUCCAUCAGGACAGAGUGAAGUCUUCAGAUGGAUGCAGUUUGUAGACAGUCUAUAAGAAAUUGGCUGAGCUAGUUCUGGCAUGGCAUUCGGGCUGCAUGUCAUCAGCUGAUGUCAUUCAAGCUAUCGACUGCAGGUGUGCUAAUUGAAGGUUUAGGGCCUAGACCUCCCUUUAGAGGACUUGAAUACUGCAUCCAUUCACAAAUCCGAACACGUUCACACAUCAUGCGUUGCUAUGUACCUUCAGCGUGCGACUGUUGCCACACUGCAUCAUCCCCCAGCUCUUCCAUACUCUUCUCUUUGUCACUACAAGACAUAGUUAAUGCUCUGUGAAGCCUUUUAACUUAAUUGAUCAAAGUAAAUACUUUGUUAGUAUAAUUCUGAAAUUAUUCCUGUCCGUUGGGGGACCUUGUAUCCUAUACUUCCUGCUUUCUUAAUGUAUGUACUUGUGCUAUACUAACUAUUCUCCAAGGCAGGAAUGUCCCAUUAAAUAGAACAAUAUUGCCAAAGACAAAUCUAUUUCCAUUGCAAUAAAUGGUUCAAUCAAUACGUGAGUGUCUUGACAGUACUCAGUAUUUCUCUGUUGGAGCGAGGGUAGUACACAGAUGCUUUAAGGUGCCUAAUUCCUCUUUGCUUAAGGAACUCUGAACUCAUAGGAAAUGAUGUGGGGUCCAUUAUCUGACACCAGCUCAUGUGCAUUUCCUUUCCAGCUGAAGAUGGAGGAACUGAAUUACAGCAGCCCUGUCUACUUUGGAGCAGAAGGCCAUUUCAGGCCACUUACUGAAAUAUUCCACUUCUGUGAUGGCAUAACUGCAGUCAGGCAGAGCUGAUUCAAACCAUGCUACGUCUCUCCGGUUCCCACCUACUCACCUGACUGACAGCUCGGCCGGUCCCACCUGCCACGUCAGCCUGGUUUCUUUGCCUGCCCUCCCUGCCCUUCCGGUUCAGCCUAAGUCCACCUGUCCUGCACCUAACCUUGUCCGUCAUUAAAUACUUCUUCAGAUUGAUCGUUUGCUAUGUGUCAUGCAUUUGGGUCCACUAAUCAGCCGUAACACUUCACCUCAGUUAUCUCUAAUCUGUCUCCAUCUUAUUUGCCCUAUGUAUCUCCCUCUCUCUUCCAUCUCUCUUCUCCUCUGUCCCAUCCCAGGUCUCUCUCUCAUUCCUCCUUCUCCCUCUCUCUUUACAGCGAUGCAGGGGAUCGCUGGAGGGAUGCUAGGGGAGAAGUUAAUUGGGCAAUGCAGAGAAGCAUUGGAUCAGGUGCUUGAUAGCGAGCAGUAGUGUUUGUCGGCUAAUUAGCAACAUACGCCGAGAGACGACAAUCCCACCACAGACUCUGAAACACAAGAAGUGAAGUGUGCAAUGGAGCGACAGGACUGGAAACAAAUGUGUGAGUGUAUCUGAAGCUACUAAACCAUGCUAAUGAAGACCUCAUCUCACUGACAAGAGUCCCAGGCAGCCGUCAGAACUGACACAUCAGUGUGUGAAUGGCAUGGAAAGUAGAAAACCAGCCGAGAAGGGCCAGGCCCACAACACAGCUCCGUCUGCCAGUCUCUCUGUUUCUUUAUUUCGUCUGUUUCUCUGCAUUUCUGUCUGCACUUCUGUAUCUCAGGAAAUCUGAGACACCGUAGGACACAUUCAUCUCCGAAAAAGGUUCAUUGGAUAUGUUUAACAUUUCUUCUACCUUCCCUGUCCUGUACAUGUUAUCAUGGGGCUCUGGAGGCCUCAGGGGGGGAAAACUCCAUUACCCCACUGCUGAUCCUUAUUAUGAUAAGCUAGGUCAGGGGCAUGGUAGAAUGAAGAGCUAUAGGAGAGAACAAAGAGAUGAAAACAAUGUGACAGAAAUUACUCAAAGUGUUAAGCACCUUACUCACAUACAAACACGUACUGAUAAUAGGACAAUUCCAACCUGUGUUUUGGAAGGUGAAAGAAGCAUAUACUACAAUGAUAAACACUGAAAAAUAGCUGUCAGUCAGGUGAAAAGGGGAAUGGAAAGGAGUGGGAGUGGAAAGUGG